AAACCUAAAUAAGAUAUUUUUCCCAUUUUAUUUCCCCUUUGUUCGUUAUUUGGUUCAGUUUAAUCAGAGCUACCUUGUGUUACGUUGUUCCCUUGUUAGUUUAGUAUAAAGUUAAACUGCUAGCUAAAAGUUUUAACCAAGAAGGAUAAUAUUAACAGGAGAUAUGAAUGAAAGAAUUGAACCUUGAUAAAACGCGACAUGCACUACAAAUUGAAGGUAUGAAAUUAAGUUAAAUGGAAGCUCGUUUAUUCACCAUAUGAUGCUCGUUAUGAGGUAAUCAGAUACCGUGAGUUAACGAGGUCGUUUACAUGCACGCGAGUGCACGGAUAUCGGUUAAUUAUUCAAAUUACUGAAAAACACGGAGAAAACCGCAACCGCAUUGCCAUGUGUUUUUCCAAGAUGUAUGCAAACAGGGAAAAUAUCACCAAACCAACAAUUCAUUUUACCAAAACCUCACUAUAUAUCAUCAUUUGUAUGCACAGAUUGCUGGAUUGGAUGCAUUGUGUGUUAUGCUAGUUUGGUGAAAGUACACACUGAGUGCUUCAAAUCAUUCAGAAGAGAUGCUGUUUUUAAGGGCAGUUUAUUAAAGAAGACCUGACAUGGAUGACUUCCAAUGAGAAACGACUGCUAAUACUUAUAUAAAUUCAUUACAGAAGGACCCUACCAGACUAUAUUUGAAUACGGCAUACCCAUGAAUUCUGGAACUGUUAUUCCUUAACCCAGUUUGGAGGAUAAGAGCUUACCAACUAGUUAUAAAUAUGCUGAGGCGAUGUAUUGCAAAAUAGCCAACAUACAACAAUUAAAGGAUAAUUGCAGACUAUAUCCUGAUGAAGAUAUGGAUGACCCUCUGUCUGGUCAACAAUAGUUAAAAUAUGGACGGGACAGUUAUGUGGCAGCUCUUCCCUGACUCAUUCAGCUCUUGCCUUCAUUUGUGAAAGGAAAAAAGACUGGAGAGGGUCAAUGUGCAACUGAAGCUUCUGAUUGUGCUGUGUGAUGAGCAUCAAUCCAUGCUUUGAGGGGGAUGAAUCAGCACAGCUCUGCCUGCUCUGCGUUGGGAACAAAAGUUGCAUCCAGAAUUUUUGCAUCAUUCUGGACCAAAAUGCCAUUCCCUGCAUGAUGAAGACCACUGAUGCAGCCUUCCACUACUGUACAUCAUGAGUAAAACAACUACAGAACUAAAUACCAGGUUGGAACGUAUUUAAGAAAAAUGAAAAGUCUUUUGAAUUGAAAUGUCUGUUUUGUUAUGGAAAAAUCUUUAGUAUUGUGAAGGAUAAGCAUUUCUGCCUGCCAGUAAGGUAAUUGCAGUGUAUUUUAAUAGUCAAGUUUUGAGUAGGGUGGCAAAUUUUUUUUUUUAACUCUCAUUUGAUUUAUUUAAGACCUUAUAAUAAGUGGUUUUCAUGUCACUGCGCUGUGGUAUAAGAUAACUUUCAUUAUUCCAUAUUGUAUUCUGUGUCUAAUUGUAGCUGAGGUAUUUAAAUAAGCAGUGUUAAAUGCAAAGUGUUGUGUGUAUCAAUGUAAAUAUUAAAUGUGAUGUACUUUAAUAAAAAGAGGUUUUGCAAUAUUUCUUGUCAUUUGUCUUUUAUAGAAACAACCCAUUAGCAAAAAAAGUGGCUAUUAAUCAGUAUUUUAACACUUAACAUUGUUGAAUUCACAUUACACUGGUGUUGACCUUAAAUUAGGAGUGUUAAUUUUUAACACUGUAUUUCUGUGCCAACACCAGUGUAGUGUGGAAACAACAAUGAAUAGUGUUGAACAAAGUGUAAAAUUUAACAAUAUUGAGUGUUGAAUUAACAUAUAAUGGGUGUUGGCAAAUUAACACUACACUUUUGACUAAAUUAACACAGUGUAGUGUGGACACAUAUACACACUUUGCCAGUGUUAAAUUUGACACCGUGGGUGUUAU